UUCACAAGCAUUAAGCAUAAGAUAAAUAAUCCACAGCAGAAGAAAGAAAUUCAGGAAAAUUUCAUUAAGAAAUCAAAAGUUUCAAGAAGAAUCCACUAACACCCUAAUAACAAGAUUAGUUCAAAGCCAACAUGAUGAAAUCAAUCAAAUUAAAUAUAAACAUAAACUCCAGAAAAGGGAAUACAGAAGAAAUUAAGAAAUCAAACUCUAGGUCUUCAAUGCUCUCCAAAAUCUCUAAUAACUUCUAAUAAUGAAUGAAUCCCCUAAUUAACUCUUAAAAACGUAUUUAAAAAGAAACCCUAAAAUAUCUAACAAUUUUUCCCUUCUGCAGGCCACGUACAGACAUACGCGCCGCGGCGCGCCUCUUUAGAUAUGCGCAGCCUCCUCUCUGUUUUCAGUGAGCGCCGCGACCCUUCCUACAUGCGCCGCGGCCAUUGAAAACUUCAGAAAAUGGCCCUCUCUGCUUUUUCCUUGCGCCGCAGCUCUUCAUUCAAGCGUCGCAGCCCCUCUAAUUUUUUCCAAAAGUUUGUUCCCGAACUCCAAAACAAACAAUUAUCUCCGCAAAUGAGUCUUCAACUUUCUUCUUGUCAACUUUUAGCAUAAAUUUCCCAAUUUAAGCUGAUUUUCCUGUCAUUUUCCAAACUUCACGUUUUCUUCUCCUAUUUCCUGCAAACAUACGAAAACAAGCAUAAUACCGCAUAACACUCCACCAAAAUGACUCAAACUUAACCUAAACACAUGUUAAAAACUAUGCUAAAAACAGACUCAUCAGGGGGUUAAAGACUUAGUUCAUCUAUUGAGGAGGAUUCAAACCAGCUUGAGGUAAGAAAUUGUCCAUGAAUUUUAAGCUAUACUCUGUUUUCUUUAUAGUUUUUGGCUUAUAGUUUUGAUGUGGAUAGUUGGAAUCAAUGGGAGUUUUUGUAUAAGAUUGAUUGGGUUUUGAUGAGGGUAUGAUGUAUAUGAAGUUUAGGGGUUGAAUUGGGUGUUUUGGUAAGGUUUUGGAUUGGUUUGGAAGGUUGGUUUCAAGGGGAAUCGCAAGGAGGGAAAACAGAGGUGUUGCUGGUCUGAAGUUGGCGUAGCAGCGCUAAGCAGGGCAGAGAGUCAGGCCUCUCUGACUUGGAAAUAGCGCCUCAACGCCAUUUAAUAAGGCUGCAGCGCUGGUCCAUUUUCCAGCAAGCCUAUUUUAGGGCUCGGAAUGACUUUUAAGGCUCGGGGUUUGGUUCCUUUGCCCGUUUGAGUAUUUUAAGAUUCCUAAGAGUGCGGGAUUGAUCCCGGGAGUGUGGUUUUAGAUUGUGAACCAUUUGUUGAUUUACUUUAUUAAUGGAUUAUAAUUGGUUAUGAUUAGGUAACCGCUAAGGGACCAAAAGGUUGAUCGUUCUCAGGAGUCGUUCUUAUUAUAUUUCUCGCUCAAACGAGAGGUAAAGGGAAAGAAAAGCUCACCCAGCCUUGAGUGGAGAGCUUAGGUGGUGAUGUGUACAUAUGCGGCCACUUGACCACCACGACCAAGGAGUUCUCAGAGGAACUAGGGGGUUUACCCUAUUUUUGUCGCUUAGGUCGACGGGUUUGAGUUGUAAAUAACUUGUAAAUGUUUUGAUGAGCUCAUGAAUAGUUUUAUAUACUUAAUAAAGCAUAUCCUUUCCUUUU